GCAGUGCUGGCUCAGCGGUAGAAUUCUCGCCUUCCAAGCAGGAGACCCAGGUUUAAUUCCUGGUCAGUGCA
rnacentral:tRNA from 1 species